UGGGGAAUAUUGGACAAUGGGCGAAAGCCUGAUCCAGCCAUGCCGCGUGUGUGAAGAAGGUCUUCGGAUUGUAAAGCACUUUAAGUUGGGAGGAAGGGCAGUAAGCGAAUACCUUGCUGUUUUGACGUUACUCGCAGAAUAAGCACCGGCUAACUCUGUGCCAGCAGCCGCGGUAAUACAGAGGGUGCAAGCGUUAAUCGGAAUUACUGGGCGUAAAGCGCGCGUAGGUGGUUCGUUAAGUUGAAUGUGAAAGCCCCGGGCUCAACCUGGGAACUGCAUCCAAAACUGGCGAGCUAGAGUAGGGCAGAGGGUGGAGGAAUUUCCGGUGUAGCGGUGAAAUGCGUAGAUAUAGGAAGGAACACCAGUGGCGAAGGCGACCACCUGGGCUCAUACUGACACUAAGGGGCGAAAGCGUGGGGAGCAAACAGG
rnacentral:rRNA from 1 species